rnacentral:rRNA from 1 species
GAUGAACGCUGGCGGCGUGCUUAACACAUGCAAGUCGAACGGAAAGGCUCCUGCUUGCAGGGGUACUCGAGUGGCGAACGGGUGAGAAACACGUGGGUGAUCUGCCCUGCACUUCGGGAUAAGCCUGGGAAACUGGGUCUAAUACCGGAUAGGACGAUGGUUUGGAUGCCAUUGUGGAAAGUGUUUCGGUGUGGGAUGAGCUCGCGGCCUAUCAGCUUGUUGGUGGGGUAAUGGCCUACCAAGGCGUCGACGGGUAGCCGGCCUGAGAGGGUGUACGGCCACAUUGGGACUGAGAUACGGCCCAGACUCCUACGGGAGGCAGCAGUGGGGAAUAUUGCACAAUGGGCGCAAGCCUGAUGCAGCGACGCCGCGUGGGGGAUGACGGCCUUCGGGUUGUAAACUGCUUUCGCUAGGGACGAAGCGCAAGUGACGGUACCUGGAGAAGAAGCACCGGCUAACUACGUG